GACGAACGCUGGCGGCGUGCUUAACACAUGCAAGUCGAACGGAAAGGCCCUGCUUUUGUGGGGUGCUCGAGUGGCGAACGGGUGAGUAACACGUGAGUAACCUGCCCUUGACUUUGGGAUAACUUCAGGAAACUGGGGCUAAUACCGGAUAGGAGCUCCUGCUGCAUGGUGGGGGUUGGAAAGUUUCGGCGGUUGGGGAUGUACUCGCGGCUUAUCAGCUUGUUGGUGGGGUAGUGGCUUACCAAGGCUUUGACGGGUAGCCGGCCUGUGAGGGUGACCGGCCACAUUGGGACUGAGAUACGGCACAGACUCCUACGGGAGGCAGCAGUGGGGAAUAUUGCACAAUGGGCGGAAGCCUGAUGCAGCAACGCCGCGUGCGGGAUGACGGCCUUCGGGUUGUAAACCGCUUUCGCCUGUGACGAAGCGGGAGUGACGGUAAUGGGUAAAGAAGCACCGGCUAACUACGUG
rnacentral:rRNA from 1 species